rnacentral:lncRNA from 10 species
ACCUGAGUUCUAAAUUUAUUUCUCAAAGAAGCCAAGCUCCUGAGAGAGAAAUGAUACUGUAAGAGUAUCUGCCUGGAAACCCUGUUGCCUGGAGACCACUCUUGAAGAACAUCCACUGCUGUGGCCUCUUAAAGAUUUAAGACAUCUAAUGAACAGCUGACAGAAAUCAUCAAUUUGCUCCUCAUUUCAGUGUCAAAUCAUGAUGCAACAGCAGAGUGAACUCAGUGUUUUUGGUAUGAAGAUCUCCAUGUGUUUCCAUCAUCAGCAUCUCCUGUGCUCUUAAUCUUACCCUGGACACCUGACCCAGGUGCCCAUUCUGUGAAUUCUUUCAUUGUAGGAAAGAGAAACAGAUGUUGACACCAUGCUCUUGGACUUCCCAGCUUCCAGAAUCAUGAGCCAAAUAAACCUCUUUUCUUUAUAAA